rnacentral:rRNA from 1 species
GACGAGGGACCCUAGCGUUGUUCGGAAUCAUUGGGCGUAAAGCGGGUGUAGGUGGCUUUGUAAGUCAGGUGUGAAAUCCCAGGGCUCAACCCUGGAAGUGCAUUUGAUACUGCGAAGCUUGAGUGCCGGAGAGGUUACUGGAAUACCUGGUGUAGUGGUGAAAUACGUAGAUAUCAGGUGGAACACCGGAGGCGAAGGCGGGUAACUGGCCGG